rnacentral:rRNA from 1 species
AUUGAACGCUGGCGGCAGGCUUAACACAUGCAAGUCGAGCGGUAGCACAAGAGAGCUUGCUCUCUGGGUGACGAGCGGCGGACGGGUGAGCAAUGUCUGGGAAACUGCCUGAUGGAGGGGGAUAACUACUGGAAACGGUAGCUAAUACCGCAUAACGUCGCAAGACGAAAGAGGGGGACCUUCGGGCCUCUUGCCAUCAGAUGUGCUCAGAUGGGAUUAGCUAGUAGGUGGGGUAAUGGCUCACCUAGGCGACGAUCCCUAGCUGGUCUGAGAGGAUGACCAGCCACACUGGAACUGAGACACGGUCCAGACUCCUACGGGAGGCAGCAGUGGGGAAUAUUGCACAAUGGGCGCAAGCCUGAUGCAGCCAUGCCGCGUGUGUGAAGAAGGCCUUCGGGUUGUAAAGCACUUUCAGCGAGGAGGAAGAUGGUGAACUUAAUACGUUCAUCAAUUGACGGUACUCGCAGAAGAAGCACCGGCUAACUCCGUG